CAGGAUCUCCCGCGUCCUCUCCAAGGAGUGGGCCGUCUUCCUGCUGAUCAAGGCCCUCUACUUCACCGCCCUCCUCAAGUUCUCCCUCCUCUCAACCUCAGCCGUCGUCUACACCAUCGCAUGCAUCUAUACGGGCCGCAAGGUCGCGUUCGGGAAGGUCAUGAGCGUUGUCCCGAGGGUCUGGAGGCGGCUGAUGGUCACCUUCCUGCGCUUCUUCCCGGCCAUGUUCGUGUACAACGUGAUCGCCGGGGUGAUCCUGCACACGUGUGCAAUCUUUGUCGGCGACUUGAACUUCGGCAUCCUGAUCCUCAUCCUUCUAGGGCUCGCAUACUUGGUCGGGUUCAUGUACAUGACCGCAGUGUGGCGAUUGGCGAGCGUGGUCUCCGUCCUGGAGGAAGAUUACGGGGUCAAGGCCAUGAUCAAGAGCAAGAACCUGAUAAAGGGCAAGCUAUUUGUGUCCACGAUCAUAUUCUUCAAGCUCAGCACAUCCUUACAUCUAGUUCAAUUCGCGUUCGAGAGGUUGGUCGUUUAUGGCCGCUCGGCAGGGACAUUAGACAGGUCUGGCUUGUUUCCAUGCUGAUGCUGUUGGGGCUCGUCGUCCAGACGGUGACCUACUUCGUCUGCAAGUCUUAACACCACGAGAACAUCGACAAGUCGGCGCUGUCGGAUCAUCUCGAGGUCUAUAUCGGAGAGUAUGUUCCUCUCAAAUCAUAACACCACGAGAACAUCAACAAGUCUGCGCUGUCGGAUCAUCUCGAGGUCUAUCUCGGAGAGUAUGUUCCUCUCAAACCCAAGGAUGUUCAGCUUGAGCAAUACGACGUUUGACUCCUAGUUCGUGUUCUUCUUAUGCUUGUUCCUUUUUCUGUUUUUCUUCAGUGGGACGAGAUAUUUUGAUACUUGAUAACUUAUGCACUAUAAAAAUAUCAAAGGAAAAAUAUAUUUUCUGCAUCUUUUUAGCCAGUGGCAAAUGGCUAAGUUAGACGUAUGCUCUUAAUUUUGUUUAGAUAUAUGCAAUAAUUAAACCGUAGUCUAUUAGUUUUUGUGCCUGGUGUGGCUGAUUUGAGCCAAUAUGUCUUUCCCAAGGCGUGUUGACUUUGAAUAAUGGAGUUUUCCAAGUAAUUACGCGAUGCACGCUUAUGUUGACUUUGAAUUCUUCUUGGCCGAGGACAAAGAAAAAUAUUAGGUAGUGGAUGGGGCCACGCAUGUGAGAGAGAUAAGAGGAAAUUACCAAGAAAGUUCUCAACUUUGUUCCAAUGUCAACUCAAUAAUAAAUUUUUUAAUUUGACAAAUUGAAUCUUAAUUCUUUUGAUGAUUCAUCAAUGUAGUUCGUUUGGCCAAUUUUGAUGGAGAAUCGUCGAUGUAAAUACCGACUAUCCUAUGUGACAACCAUCAAUAAUAUAAAUAACUUUUUAAUAAUUUUUUUCAAUUUAUUUUUUUAUUCCCUUUUCAUUUUGCCAGUGGUUGGCCAUCACCCAUAGAGAAUGGCCGGUGAGAGUUGGCCUUACUUGAGUGAGGGCCAACGUAAGCUAUCUUAGUGUGGGCGAGGAUAGUCUCGCCAUAUUUGGCAAGGGUGGUCCUUGCCCUUGCCCGGGAUAGGAAUGGACUGGGCUUGGACUUGCCAAAUUCAACAAGGGGAGCCCUUAUUGAUGCUUGCCUUGGCCUAGGCAAGGCCUGAUGGGGCCAACACUCACCAACCAUAGCCUAUGGCCGGUGGACAGUGACUAGCCAUUGACAAAAGGAAUAGGGAAAGAAAAAAAAUUAAUUUUUUUAUCAAUAUUAUCUAGAUCGGCACUAGUUGUGCCACGUAGGAUCACAUCGGCAGUUUUAUGCCAAAAUUGACUUGGACUGACUACAUUGAUGAAAUCAUCAAAGUAUUUAUGACUAAAUUGAUCAAGUCAAAAAGUUUAUGAUUGAGUUAAUAUCAAUGUAAUAGAUUUAUGAUUUUCUUAGUAAUUUCUCUAAGGGAUGGUGAUGAAUUUUUCGUAGUAAUUAUCACUAUUAUGUGCUGAAAAUGAAACUAAUCUUUUAAAUAUUUAUUUUUGAAAAUUGGACGUUGGUCAAUCUAAAUUUCUUCUUCCAACUGAAACAGGGUAUAUUAUAGAAUUGCGCACUCCUAAGUAGUAGCUUCAACGUGAUUGUUUGUGUUUUUUAUUGGCGUGCAUUAAUUACAAGGAGCCACCUAAAUCUCAAGCCCCUUCUUUCGGCGAUCUACCACAUUAAUGAAUACGAGGAGCAACCUGACCCUCCAACUUGGCGCAUUCCUCUUUGGUCACUUUGGAAACACUCCAUUGUAUUUGAAAAAAUGCUAGUCAUGGAGCAAAGAUAAUUCCAACCCAUAAAUUCAGCGUGGGGGUAUAGAAGCCUUUGGAGAAAUCGUUAUUUCAGUUAUAAUCCCAUUCUACGAUUUCAGUCUAGUUCUAAAUUUUCGAUUGACCUAAUGUAAUACUAGAACUUUUAGUAAAAGAAAAACAAUCAAUUUCUCUUAGUUAAGCCCCACAUGCUUUUAUAGCUUUCCAUUGAUUUUUUCUUUUUCUUUUUCAAUAACUCCGUUCACUACCAUUAUUCAUGUUAUUUCACAACAAAUGCAUCUUGUGCCUGCAGUGAUGCGAGGAAUUUUUAUUUAUUUAUUUUUAUCUCAAUUUGAAAUAUACAUUGUUGGAAUAAUUGCCAAAUGCAUAAUUCCUUUUACGACUAUUUGCCUUUUGAAAGAUGAGUUUCUCUAAUCAUUGAUUCAGUUAUUUUCUUGUUCGCCGUCUUUUUCCAUUAUAACUUUGUGACUCGUACAAUACUCUAUAUCUACAAGCCCUCAAAUCUUGCCUAACCAAUAGCUUUGCCAUCUUCUAUUGACUACGCUGAGCAUGCAUCGUCCAAAUCGUAUGAUGGCAUAACCUUCUUCAACUUAUAAGUUAAAUCAUCAAAUGUACAGAUCUAGGUGUAUGAUAAAUCCUUUCGUUUACACUGAUGUUUAAUUGCUACAUACUCAUCGAAUGGAUAAUUUGUGGUCGAUUUUCGAAACCUUUUUAUUCUCAUCAGCACGGAGAAGCUAGAGAUGUUGGUGCCACAUUGCGUAUCAGUGCCGGUCCAUUAUUAACGUUAUUGAGGAUUCAUUCAAUUGUCCCUCAUUGAGUUUUUCUCGUAAUCGACCGUGUUGUCAAGUCGGAUCUUGCAAUAUUUGGCAUAGCUGAUGCGAUCCGAUUCGAGCCCUUGAGAGUUACAAACCCGCCACCCAUCUUUCUCCCUCUUGGCCAUUCCGAGGUUCGAUCCCAUGUCUUGUCCCUUGGUCUCCAACCCCACGCCGCCACGGACCGCCGCGCCCGAUGGCUCUCUGUUUUCUCCAUCUGGGUUUGUCGGAGUCGAGCCGGGUCUUUCGCUUUAGACCCCGAUCAUCAUCCUUUCGCAUGAAGGCCUGCCGUCUUUUGAAGGCCCAUGGCUGGUUCCUAAGACCCAAGCUCGUCGACAGCUCUUUUCCUACCCGGAAAGCCGGUUCCAGAAAAGCAGUUGCCAUAUGAUAAGCGCCACUGAAAAGUGACGGUUGAUACAAAAGAAACUGCUUUGCUCCCGCGGAAAAGCAGUUCUUUGGGGAUCUGUUUAUUGCAGCGGAAGAACUGGAAAGGCAAGGGAAGCUCGUGCUCGUUGGGGUUCUCUUCCCUAGUGCCCCAUCAUCUCUCCCUCCCUCCCUCUCUCUCUCCGUCUCUCUCUCUACCCGUCUACUUUUUCAUUCACAUCUCUUUCAUUGAUUUCUCUGUUCAUUCUGAGCUCUGAACAAGGAGUUCCUCCAACAAGUCCAAUCAUGGUGAAGGAGACCGAGUCCUACGACGUUCUUGGUGUCAGCCCUUCUGCCUCCGACGACGAGAUUCGCAAGGCCUAUUACUCAAGGUAAGAGAGGCGGUUCUGUUCUCCUUUUCCUGGUUGUUGGAUCGGUCACAUUAGUGACUGAGUUGUGAUUGGUCGAUUCGAAUUUCUUUUCAUGACGAUGUUUUAGUGAACCGAGGUUUCUGGGAUUAGUUCCAAAUGUGAUUGAUCGUCUGAUCAAUCGAUUCUGCUGAAUCGGUUACUUCUACCCUUUUCCUUAUGGUCGUGUUCAAGAAAUGAAGAAGUCAUUGCCUAGCUGGUCCACUUUUUUUUUUUUUUUUUUGGUGAUUUCUUCCGAACUAUGAUAAUUAGUAUAAGCGUUUGAGUUAAGUGCACUCGAAGAGUUUGCGGUAGGUGGAUUGCUCGUUUAAAAGGCUCAUAUGAAAUUUGGCACUCCAUUUAAUAUGUCAACUUAAUUUUACCGAUCUUGGUCGAGUGAUAUCGCUGAAUGGAAGAGAUUUAACACUACUCUAUGUUUUUUUAAGUAACCAAUUAAAACGUGCCCUAUCCGAUGCAUCACCUAUUAUUCUUUACUGGAAAUAUCAUAUCCUAACCAUGGUCACCUCACCAACCUACAACAAUAGACAACAUGUAUGAAAAGUGUUAGCAAUAUUUAUUUGGCAAUCGACAGAGAAAUGAAAUUAGGAUUGAAAUUAAGCAUAUUGACUAGAUCUCUUGCCAUAAAUUUGUUUGAGUUUUUUACCAAUCUUUUUUUUUUUUUUUUUUUGAGACAGGAGGAACUAGCUUGUAGCCAUAAACUCCCGGUGACGCUAGCGCAGGACCCUCCACCACGACGUCACACUUAAGACACUUAGCGUCUCUACUGGGUUUUGAACCUCUUAUCUCUGGGCUGAGGAUCAGUAGGGCUUUAUCCCGUAGGGCCACCACGGUUGGUAGUCUUUUUUGCCAAUCUUCGUGGUCGAUAAAUUGGACAAUGACUGACUUGCGUUUAGGUUUUUUAAAUUGUCUACUAGAGGCAUUUCGAGAUUGAAAAGUCCAACCAAACCUCCUACGGUCCUCUUCAACUACUCUCUCCCCACCUUUCCAAUCCUUUCUUCCUUCUUCAUCUUCUCUUCCUCGAGAAAAUCUUCACUGAACGUCAAGGGAUCGACAGAAGCAUGGAUCGAGAGCAAGAAGAGAUGCAGUUCCUCGGCCUCGUCGGCAUCUGCAAAGAGUCCUGCAAGGUCAUCUUCUCAUGGAGGAAGAUCUUCACCCAGAUCACCUUGGCCCUGAUCCUCCCUCUCGCCUUCGUCUUCCUCCUCCACAUGGAAGUCUCCGACAUCCUCUUGUCGAAGAUCGUCCACAACGAGAUCCAGCUCGACGAGACCCGCCCCAAUACUUCCCGAAGCGACAGGAUCUCCAGCGUCCUCUCCAAGGAGUGGGCCGUCUUCCUGCUGAUCAAGGCCCUCUACUUCACCGCCCUCCUCGUGUUCUCCCUCCUCUCAACCUCAGCCGUCGUCUACACUAUCGCAUGCAUCUAUACGGGCCGCGAGGUCGCGUUUCGGAAGGUCAUGAGCGUGGUCCCGAGGGUCUGGAGGCGGCUGAUGGUCACCUUCCUGUGCAUCUUCCUGGCCAUGUUCUUGUACAAUGUGAUUGCCGGGGUGAUCCUGCUCACGUGCGCAAUCUUUGUCGGCGACUCAAACUUCGGCAUCCUGAUCCUCAUCCUUCUAGUGAUCGCAUACUUGGUCGGGUUCAUGUACAUGACCGCAGUGUGGCAAUUGGCGAGCGUGGUCUCCGUCCUGGAGGAAGAUUACGGGGUCAAGGCCAUGAUCAAGAGCAAGAACCUGAUAAAGGGCAAGAUAAUUGUGUCCAUAAUCAUAUUCUUCAAGCUCAGCACAUCCUUACACCUAGUUCAAUUCGCGUUCGAGAAGUUGGUCGUUUAUGGCCGCUCGGCAGGGACAUUAGGCAGGUGUGGCUAUGGAGUUCUGUGUUUCUUUCUUCUUUCCAUGCUGAUGGUGUUCGGGCUCGUCGUCCAGACGGUGAUCUACUUCGUCUGCAAGUCGUACCACCACGAGAACAUCGACAAGUCGGCGCUGUCGGAUCAUCUCGAGGUCUAUCUCGGAGAGUAUGUUCCUCUCAAAUCCAAGGAUGUUCAGCUUGAGCAAUACGACAUUUGACUCAUUGUUCGUGUUCUUCUUAUCCUUGUUCCUUUUUCUGUUUUUCUUCUGUGGGACGAGAUAUUUUGAUACUUGAUAACUUAUGCACUAUAAAAAUAUCAAAGGAAAAAUAUAUUUUCUGCAUCUUUUUAGCCAGUAGCAAAUGGUUAAGUUAGAUGUAAGCUCUUAAUUUUGUUUAGAUAUAUGUAAUAAUUAAACCGUAGUCUAUUAUUUUUUGUGCCUGGUGUGGCUGAUUUGAGCCACCAUGUCUUACCCAAGGCGCGUUGACUUUGAAUAAUGGAGUUUUCCAAGUAAUUACGCGAUGCACG
rnacentral:lncRNA from 1 species